rnacentral:rRNA from 1 species
GACGAACGCUGGCGGCGUGCUUAACACAUGCAAGUCGAACGAAAAGAGGGAAAGAGCUUGCUCUUUCCGGAAUUGAGUGGCAAACGGGUGAGUAACACGUAAACAACCUGCCCUCAGGAUGGGGACAACAGACGGAAACGACUGCUAAUACCGAAUAAGUUCCAAGGGCCGCAUGGCCCAUGGAAGAAAAGGUGGCCUCUACCUGUAAGCUAUCGCCUGAAGAGGGGUUUGCGUCUGAUUAGCUGGUUGGAGGGGUAACGGCCCACCAAGGCGACGAUCAGUAGCCGGUCUGAGAGGAUGAACGGCCACACUGGAACUGAGACACGGUCCAGACUCCUACGGGAGGCAGCAGUGGGGAAUCUUCCGCAAUGGGCGAAAGCCUGACGGAGCAACGCCGCGUGAGUGAUGACGGCCUUCGGGUUGUAAAACUCUGUGAUCCGGGACGAAAAGGCAGAGUGCGAAGAACAAACUGCAUUGACGGUACCGGAAAAGCAAGCCACGGCUAACUACGUG